AAUAUUGGACAAUGGGGGCAACCCUGAUCCAGCCAUGCCGCGUGUGUGAAGAAGGUCUUCGGAUUGUAAAGCACUUUAAGUUGGGAGGAAGGGCUCUAGGUUAAUACCCUGAAGAAUUGACGUUACCAACCGAAUACGAACCGGCUAACUAUGUCGCAGCAGCCGCGGUAAUACAGAGGGUGAUAGCGUUAAUUGGAAUUACUGGGCGUAAAGCACACGUAGGUGGUUCAGUAAGAUGGGUGUUAAAUCCCCGGGCUUAACCUGGGAACUGCUUUCAUAACUGCUGAGCUAGAGUACGGUAGAGGGUAGUGGAAUUUCCUGUGUAGCGGUGAAAUGCGUAGAUAUAGGAAGGAACACCAGUGGCGAAGGCGACUACCUGGACUGAUACUGACACUGAGGUGCGAAAGCGUGGGGAGCAAACA
rnacentral:rRNA from 1 species